rnacentral:rRNA from 1 species
GAUGAACGCUGGCGGCGUGCCUAAUACAUGCAAGUCGAGCGAACGGACGAGAAGCUUGCUUCUCUGAUGUUAGCGGCGGACGGGCGAGUAACACGUGGAUAACCUACCUAUAAGACUGGGAUAACUUCGGGAAACCGGAGCUAAUACCGGAUAAUAUUUUGAACCGCAUGGUUCAAAAGUGAAAGACGGUCUUGCUGUCACUUAUAGAUGGAUCCGCGCUGCAUUAGCUAGUUGGUAAGGUAACGGCUUACCAAGGCAACGAUGCAUAGCCGACCUGAGAGGGUGAUCGGCCACACUGGAACUGAGACACGGUCCAGACUCCUACGGGAGGCAGCAGUAGGGAAUCUUCCGCAAUGGGCGAAAGCCUGACGGAGCAACGCCGCGUGAGUGAUGAAGGUCUUCGGAUCGUAAAACUCUGUUAUUAGGGAAGAACAUAUGUGUAAGUAACUGUGCACAUCUUGACGGUACCUAAUCAGAAAGCCACGGCUAACUACGUGCCAGCAGCCGCGGUAAUACGUAGGUGGCAAGCGUUAUCCGGAAUUAUUGGGCGUAAAGCGCGCGUAGGCGGUUUUUUAAGUCUGAUGUGAAAGCCCACGGCUCAACCGUGGAGGGUCAUUGGAAACUGGAAAACUUGAGUGCAGAAGAGGAAAGUGGAAUUCCAUGUGUAGCGGUGAAAUGCGCAGAGAUAUGGAGGAACACCAGUGGCGAAGGCGACUUUCUGGUCUGUAACUGACGCUGAUGUGCGAAAGCGUGGGGAUCAAACAGGAUUAGAUACCCUGGUAGUCCACGCCGUAAACGAUGAGUGCUAAGUGUUAGGGGGUUUCCGCCCCUUAGUGCUGCAGCUAACGCAUUAAGCACUCCGCCUGGGGAGUACGACCGCAAGGUCGAAACUCAAAGGAAUUGACGGGGACCCGCACAAGCGGUGGAGCAUGUGGUUUAAUUCGAAGCAACGCGAAGAACCUUACCAAAUCUUGACAUCCUUUGACAACUCUAGAGAUAGAGCCUUCCCCUUCGGGGGACAAAGUGACAGGUGGUGCAUGGUUGCCGUCAGCUCGUGUCGUGAGAUGUUGGGUUAAGUCCCGCAACGAGCGCAACCCUUAAGCUUAGUUGCCAUCAUUAAGUUGGGCACUCUAAGUUGACUGCCGGUGACAAACCGGAGGAAGGUGGGGAUGACGUCAAAUCAUCAUGCCCCUUAUGAUUUGGGCUACACACGUGCUACAAUGGACAAUACAAAGGGCAGCGAAACCGCGAGGUCAAGCAAAUCCCAUAAAGUUGUUCUCAGUUCGGAUUGUAGUCUGCAACUCGACUACAUGAAGCUGGAAUCGCUAGUAAUCGUAGAUCAGCAUGCUACGGUGAAUACGUUCCCGGGUCU